rnacentral:rRNA from 1 species
UGGGGAAUUUUGCGCAAUGGGGGAAACCCUGACGCAGCAACGCCGCGUGGAGGAUGAAGUCCCUUGGGACGUAAACUCCUUUCGAUCGGGACGAUUAUGACGGUACCGGAAGAAGAAGCCCCGGCUAACUUCGUGCCAGCAGCCGCGGUAAUACGAGGGGGGCCAGCGUUGCUCGGAAUUACUGGGCGUAAAGGGUCCGUAGGCGGUGUGGCAAGUCGGGAGUGAAAUCUCUGGGCUUAACCCAGAGGCUGCUUCCGAAACUGCCAUGCUAGAGUGUGAGAGAGGCGAGUGGAAUUACGGGUGUAGCGGUGAAAUGCGUAGAUAUCCGUAGGAACAUCCGAGGCGAAGGCGGCUCGCUGGAUCACAACUGACGCUGAGGGACGAAAGCUAGGGGAGCAAACAGGAUUAGAUACCCUGGUAGUCCUAGCCCUAAACCAUCAGGACUUGGGGUGUGCCCUGUACGGGGCACGUCCCGUAGCUAACGCGUUAAGUCCUGCGCCUGGGGAGUACGGUCGCAAGGCUG